AACGUAGGAGGCGAGCGUUCUCCGGAGUUACUGGGCGUAAAGCGCGCGUAGGCGGCCCGGUAAGUCCGCUGUAAAAGUCAAAGGCUCAACCUUUGAAUGUCAGUGGAUACUGCCGGGCUAGAGUCCGGAAGAGGCGAGUGGAACUCCUGGUGUAGCGGUGGAAUGCGCAGAUAUCAGGAAGAACACCUAUGGCGAAGGCAGCUCUCUGGGACGGUACUGACGCUGAGACGCGAAAGCGUGGGGAGCGAACAGG
rnacentral:rRNA from 1 species